rnacentral:rRNA from 1 species
AACUGAAACAUCUAAGUACCUGAAGGAAGAGAAAGAAAUUCGAUUCCGUAAGUAGCGGCGAGCGAACGCGGAUUAGCCCAAACCAAUAAAGUUUUCUUUAUUGGGGGUGCGGACAUAUCAUAACGAAGAGGUAUCGUAAUUGAAGAGGUUUGGAAAGACCCACCACAGAAGGUAAUAGUCCUGUAUGUUAAACGAGAAGACUUUAGAUAUGAU